UCUAAACGCAGGCAGACGCUCUGGCAACCUUUGUCAAACUCUGUGGUGGCGUUGGCGUCCCAGAGCUCCCGAGUUGCUUACCCUUCCUGUAAGGGCAAUCGUACCCUUUCCGGUGAAGGAACCUUUCUCCAGACCUGGUCCAUAGAAACUUGUGAGAGACUGACUUGACCUAGCUUACCUUGGGUCACCGAAAGGAUUUGAAUUUCUUCACUGGUAUUCAAACCUAAAUGCUUUGGGAUUCCAACAGAAUGAAGAUCAAUGUCUAUCCAGGAUUCCGGUGCCACACUAGGGCUACUGAGAUACUGAGUCUUGUAGAUUGAACAACUGCCAGAAUCUUGGCCUUUCCAUCAUGAAUUAGUCAUUAAUGGACUAUCCAGCUGCUAGACUGCAUCUGAUACGCAGUGAUGAGAUUAUAAAUGUGUACCACCAUGACCAGAUAUUGAAUACUUACUAUAUGCCAGGCAGAAUGAUAAUGAAAAUUAAAGGCUCCUGAAAGCACUGAGCUCCACUUCUUCCUAACCCCAUCCAACCCUGCUACCCCAAACACCAGCUCCAAGCUCUGGAGAAGCGCAAGUGUCAAUCACAGCAACACCUGAAUAGAGACCUCUAGGAGGAAUUUCUCAGGCUACACAACCAGCACCUUUGGGCUUUAUAUCCCGCUGACAUAGGCAACCAUUGGCCUGAGCCCAAGGAUCCAAUGGAAGAGUUAGGGGAAGGACUGAAGAAGCCGAAGGAGUUUGCAACCUGAUAGAAAGAACAUUAUCAACUAAGCAAACCCACCAGAGCUCCUAGGGACUAAACCACCAACCAAAGAGUGUAUACAUGGAGGGACCCAUGGCUCCAGCUGCAUAUGUCGCAGAGGGUUGCCUUAUCUGGCAUCAGUGGGAGGGGAGGCCCUUGGUCCUGUAGGAGAUUGAUGCUUCAGUGUAAGAGGAUGCUAGAGAGAUGAGAUGGGAGUGGGUGAGUGUGUGGGGAACACUUUCUUAGAGGCAAAGGGGAGGGAGGGAGGAUUGGAUGAGGUUUUCACAGAGGGGAGACCAGGAAGGGAGAAAACAUUUGAAAUGUAAAUAAAUAAAAUAACUAGUAAAAAUUACUGCAUCUUUAUUGUUAGAUAGUA
ensembl:lncRNA